rnacentral:rRNA from 1 species
UGGGGGAUAUGCACAAUGGGCGAAAGCCUGAUGCAGCGACGCCGCGUGGGGGAUGAAGGCCUUCGGGUUGUAAACUUCUUUUGCUCUGAACAAGGCGCACCAUGGGGUGUGUUGAGUGUAGGGGUUGAUUAGCGCCGGCUAACUACGUGCCAGCAGCCGCGGUAAUACGUAGGGCGCGGGCGUUGUCCGGAAUUAUUGGGCGUAAAGGGCUUGUAGGUGGCUGGUUGCGUCUGUCGUGAAAGCUCAUGGCUUAACUGUGGGUUUGCGGUGGGUACGGGCUGGCUUGAGUGCAGUAGGGGAGGCUGGAAUUCCUGGUGUAGCGGUGGAAUGCGCAGAUAUCAGGAGGAAUACCGGUGGCGAAGGCGGGUCUCUGGGCUGUUACUGACACUGAGGAGCGAAAGCAUGGGGAGCGAACAGG